rnacentral:rRNA from 1 species
UACGGAGGGGGCUAGCGUUAUUCGGAAUUAUUGGGCGUAAAGGGCGUGUAGGCGGCCAUUCAAGUGACGGGUGAAAGCCCUCGGCUUAACCGAGGAACUGCCUGUCAGACUGGAUGGCUUGAGACCGGGAGAGGUGAGUGGAAUUCCCAGUGUAGCGGUGAAAUGCGUAGAUAUUGGGAGGAACACCAGUGGCGAAGGCGGCUCACUGGACCGGAAUGACGCUGAGGCGCGAAAGCGUGGGGAGCAAACAGG